CCGAAUGGAGGCAGCGGAAAAACUCAGAGCCGCUGUCAGCGGCCGAAUGGACGGAAUCAGUUAACCUUUCUUCCGGCUUGAUAACUUAGAAAGUUUCCCACCAAUUCCGGUGAAACUUCACAUGAAACGAAACAAACGUCGGCUGCACGACACGUUGCUGUGGAAAGUUUUCCCAGCUCUGAGCUAGCUCCACCAUCUUGCCACAGUCAAAAAGGCCGAAGCCAAACCGGUGGCUCACGUGAUGUCCGGCUCCAUUGAUGGUCCAGCUGCUGUCUGCCGAUGGGAUGCGUGACCCUCGCACGACCAGGUGUUGGACAUCUCGCCAGCUCAGUAAAGGACUGGAGCAAAAAAUGUAUAGAAUGUUUAACAUUCAUGUAACUAAAGGCUAAAGAAAUAAAUGUACACACACUGUUAUCGACCAAGCAAACUCUUCUUUCUGUGCAGGCGGCCAGAGGGAGCCACUGUGUUAGGUCAAGUUUCUUUUCUUUCUCUCUGUUUUUUUUCUCUGCAUAUCUUGCUUUUUCCCUGCACUAAAUGAUCAUUCUUAUGCUGGAUCAUAUUCUCCAUACAUGGUUCUAUUCUUCCCAGACUUUAAA
rnacentral:lncRNA from 1 species